AGUCUACCAGGAAAUGGUGUCUUCCUGCUUUGAAACCGUUUCGCAUCGCCGAAACUGAUGGCGCCUACAAAUAU
rnacentral:ncRNA from 1 species